GUUGCGCUCAGCAGUGGCAGAGGAGCGGAGGAGCAGCGGAGGAGCAGCAUGGGCCUCCUGGCGAGGCUCCGGAAGGAAUGGUUCAUCAUCGGCAUCGUGCUGGUCAUCCUGUCCGCCAGACUGCAGCCCAGCGUCGGCGUCAGGGGAGGGCCGUUAAAACCAGAGAUCACCAUCGCCUACGUUGCCGUCUCGCUCAUUUUCUUCAACAGCGGCCUGUCGCUGAAAACGGAGGAGCUGACCAGUGCGCUUCUUCACGUCCGUCUGCACCUCUUCGUUCAGUCCUUCACGCUCGUCUUCUUCCCUCUGGUCGUCUGGCUGCUGCUCAAAGUGCUCGCACUCACCGCCAUCGACGAAUGGCUGCUCAGAGGGUUACAGACGGUGAGCUGCAUGCCCCCCCCGGUCUCUUCGGCUGUUAUUCUCACCAAGGCUGUCGGAGGCAACGAGGCUGCUGCUAUCUUCAACUCAGCGUUUGGAAGCUUCCUGGGAAUCGUAGUGACUCCGGUGCUGCUGCUGCUGUUUCUCGGCUCGUCCUCCUCCGUUCCCUUCUCCUCCAUCUUCUCUCAGCUCUUCAUGACGGUGGUGGUUCCUCUGAUCCUGGGUCAGGUGUGUCGUGGUUUCCUCAGGGAGUAUCUGGAGCGGCGGAAGCUUCCGUUCAGCGCCGUCAGCAGCGCCGUCCUCCUCAUGAUCAUCUACACCACCUUCUGUGACACCUUCAGCAACCCCAACAUAGAGCUGGACCCCACCAGCCUGCUGCUGGUCGUCCUCAUCAUUUUCUCCAUCCAGCUCAGCUUCAUGCUGCUCACGUUUGCCUUCUCUACCAGGUCGGGCUCAGGAUUCAGCCCUGCAGACACCGUCGCCAUCGUGUUCUGCUCCACACACAAGUCUCUCACUCUGGGUAUCCCCAUGCUGAAGAUCGUGUUCGAGGGCUACGAGCAUCUCUCUCUGAUCUCGGUCCCUCUGCUCAUCUACCACCCGGCUCAGAUUCUGCUCGGCUCCGUCCUCGUGCCGACCAUCCGGAGCUGGAUGACCAGCCGGCAGAAGUCUAGUCUGUUGUUGAGAUAGGGCCGCAUUCCAACACUGCUGAGAACUAAAAUAAUUCACCAGAGGAACACGGUCUUUGUCUCACUCGGUGGUGAAACUGCCAACUCUUCAGCCCGUCUGACGAAGACGAAAUGAAUGUUUUGACGGUUCCGUGUUGUGAUGGCGUACGGCGGUGGAGGGAUACGGUGGAACGUGCCUUAUUACAAACAAUCAACAGAGACCUCAGUGCGACGGACGGUUGUGCACCAGUCGCCCCGAUAUUCUCCGUUUUUAUGACAACAAAAAACUCAUAUUUCCAUCAGAUAUAUUCUUUUAUAUCUAAAAGAAACAGAAGUUUUAUUUUUAUAUGAAAUACCUGCAAAAAGGGGAGAUCUGCUUUUUUUUAAAGACAAAUGGAGCGUUUGGUUUGAAAAACAGCACCUCCCAGCAGGAACGGGGAGCAGAAGGGCGGAGUUACUGGGACCAUUCUUUUCUACUUUUUUUUGUUGCUAUUUUCUACUUUUCUCUACUCUAUAUUUCUCCUAGCUGUCACUGCCAGAAAAUGAGGACAUGUGUUACAUUUAUCAUUUGAUAGAAACAAACUAAUCCUGGAGUUUCUGAUAUUUAAUAUACAGUAUAAGAAUGUCAGUUUCUGAUUCUUUCUAAAAUAAUGCUUGUUGUUUGUUUCUUGUUUGUUUACAAGAAGCAGUCUUGUGGUGAGGGAAUUAUGUUGAGCUAAUAAUCUAUCCAAAUAAGGAAGCUAGGACAUGAACACUGAGGUACUGAAUUAUAUAGAUUUUUUACAUCUUUUUUUGUGAAAUUACUCACACUAUACUAUCUGGUUUUUUUUUAGUUUGUUUUAUUCAAACUCCGGUUCACAUAAUUUGCCGUCAGCCUCAUAUUCUGCCCAAAUAUUUGGUCCACAAGGGCAUUUUUUAACUUGGACCAAUACAUAGGCAGGAGACUCACGGUUAUCGAUCCACAUACAUUUGUACGCAGAUGAUACCUUAUUCUAUCUGAGUAAUAUAGUAGUUGUCAUGUCACUUUUCCAUUAUCAUAUGAAUCACUGACCAAAAUCUCAUAAUGACAAUGCUAACAUGCUAAUGUUUAGCUGGUAUAACCAUGAUCACCAUCUUUUUGUUAGCAUGCUAACGUUUGCUAAUCAGCACAAAACACAAAGUACAGCUGAGACUGCAGUAUUGUAAAACGAAGUAUUGAACAAAUUCAAACUUUAACCAGAUCAUAGCGCUAAAUGAAAAGUCAGAGGACCAUUACAGUUAUUACAGUUCAUCCUGAGGGGAACAUGAACAACUGAACCAAAUGACAUGGUAAUACAUCCUGUAGUUGUUGAGAUAUUGGCAACCAUGUAAAUCUGCACGGAGUUCAUGUUGAGAUAUUUGUUUUUAAGUAGAAACUGUGACCCAUAGGUGGUUCUAGAGUCAAGAUCAGGCGACCACCAAAGUAUUAGGGCUUCAUCAUCAGCACCAUGAAUGUUUGUACCAAAUCUCAUGGCAAUCGAUCCAACAGUCGUUGAGAUAUUUCAGUCUGAACCCAAAUGGUGGACUCGCCAAAAGUCCGAAAUUGCCACGCCACUAGCAAGGCUAACAAUGAAGGUCUUUGAAACUUACUGUUCAGGUUUGUGGCCUAGAAAUCAAAGAGUUUCCUCUUUUUCCUAUUCAGAGAGGUGACAGUGAAUGUAUCAUCAUCAUAACCAAUCAGAACUGGAGAUGCAACACGUGACAUCCAUUCAAACUAAUUUUACAGUGUUUUUAUUCAGUGUUAGCUGCUUUGUGAUGUGACCAAACGGACAUAAACGUAUGGAAACUGUACAAUACAAGGGCUAACUUUGCUCAGGGGCACUGAGGCAGUAUUUCUGUUCGUUAUUCGCUGGUGUCACUACCAAGCCUUACAUCCCUCUGGUGUUUGUAAUGUCAAUUCUGAUUUCUGAAGGACCUUCUGAUUGACAUAUUUGGGGGAUUUCAUGUCACUUUCGCUAACCCCCUUUAGACAAGUUGGAGGACCACAGCUCUGUGAAGACCUGAUAAACGCCAUCCUUUAUCCAAGGUGCUUAAUUAGCUGUUACUAAGCAACCAAAAACCUUUGAGCUGGGAUGGUGAUGAUGAUGAUGAAGUUGCAGUAAUUUAAAGUAAACUUCACUGACAGAACUUUACAAAGUUAAACCAGAUAAAUGGAUUUCUUCAACCAGAUGACGCCCUUGGAUGCACUGCCCAAAUUCUAAUGAAUCGAAGGACUAACGCUUUAGCCAAAACACCUGAUUUUGGUGCAAAUGCAGCGUAACUAGAAGUUAUAACAUCUCCCCAAAUGUAGAUCUCGAUCUUGAGAUGAUAAAAGAUGUCUUUGGCUUUUUGUUGUAUCCUCGAAAACCUGCUUUGGUGUACACAUGGAACAGAUUUCUUCAAAGCAACCUCCGUUAUCAGAUCGUUAACUUGACUGAAAAAGUUUCUGAUUUGUCCAGUAACAGUCAACAUUUCACAGCUUCUGUCUGUUUACACUGUGACUGUUUUGCCAGUUGUAUAUUUUGGAAAGACAUAUAUUUAUGCAGGGUAUGUAAAGGUGUUUCCUUCCACUUGUUUACAUAAAAAAAGUAUACAGAAAUAAACCUACAAACUUUU